rnacentral:rRNA from 1 species
UGUAUAAUGGGUCAGCGACUUAUAUUCUGUAGCAAGGUUAACCGAAUAGGGGAGCCGAAGGGAAACCGAGUCUUAACUGGGCGUUAAGUUGCAGGGUAUAGACCCGAAACCCGGUGAUCUAGCCAUGGGCAGGUUGAAGGUUGGGUAACACUAACUGGAGGACCGAACCGACUAAUGUUGAAAAAUUAGCGGAUGACUUGUGGCUGGGGGUGAAAGGCCAAUCAAACCGGGAGAUAGCUGGUUCUCCCCGAAAGCUAUUUAGGUAGCGCCUCGUGAAUUCAUCUCCGGGGGUAGAGCACUGUUUCGGCAAGGGGGUCAUCCCGACUUACCAACCCGAUGCAAACUGCGAAUACCGGAGAAUGUUAUCACGGGAGACACACGGCGGGUGCUAACGUCCGUCGUGAAGAGGGAAACAACCCAGACCGCCAGCUAAGGUCCCAAAGUCAUGGUUAAGUGGGAAACGAUGUGGGAAGGCCCAGACAGCCAGGAUGUUGGCUUAGAAGCAGCCAUCAUUUAAAGAAAGCGUAAUAGCUCACUGGUCGAGUCGGCCUGCGCGGAAGAUGUAACGGGGCUAAACCAUGCACCGAAGCUGCGGCAGCGACACUGUGUGUUGUUGGGUAGGGGAGCGUUCUGUAAGCCUGUGAAGGUGUGCUGUGAGGCAUGCUGGAGGUAUCAGAAGUGCGAAUGCUGACAUAAGUAACGAUAAAGCGGGUGAAAAGCCCGCUCGCCGGAAGACCAAGGGUUCCUGUCCAACGUUAAUCGGGGCAGGGUGAGUCGACCCCUAAGGCGAGGCCGAAAGGCGUAGUCGAUGGGAAACAGGUUAAUAUUCCUGUACUUGGUGUUACUGCGAAGGGGGGACGGAGAAGGCUAUGUUGGCCGGGCGACGGUUGUCCCGGUUUAAGCGUGUAGGCUGGUUUUCCAGGCAAAUCCGGAAAACUAAGGCUGAGGCGUGAUGACGAGGCACUACGGUGCUGAAGCAACAAAUGCCCUGCUUCCAGGAAAAGCCUCUAAGCAUCAGGUAACAU